rnacentral:rRNA from 1 species
GUCUACAGCCAUGCUACCCUGAACAAGCUUGAUCUGUCUGAUCUCGGAAGCUAAGCAGGGUCGGGCCUGGUUAGUACUUGGUUGGGAGACCACCUAGGAAGACCAGAUGCUGUAGGCA